rnacentral:lncRNA from 1 species
CAUUUCUUAAAGUUCUUGCUCUGGGAUAUAUAUAUUUUUUUUUACAUAAACACAAAACUAAUUCUGUUUAUACUAGAGUAUAGGCAGUGUUGAUCUUUUUCUUUUUCAGCAAAAAACAAAUAUAUGAAGAUAAAACUAGAAAGGAGAAUCAGCUUUAGUACUGGUAGCAGAAGCAAUGAGCUUGCUCUUCUAGCUUUCCCCAGAUAUGUAAUCCAGAUAUAAACUGAAGAAGCAGUUUCUGAAACAGAAAAGCAUAGCUUCAAUUUCUAAAGAAGGAAAACAUUAGUAGGUUAGAUACAAAUAAGGGAAAUGAAAGAGGAGUAAAACUCCUUUUCAGCUACAAAACCAGUUCUAACUGAACAUGCAGGAAGGACUAAACAGCAUACAUGGUAAUAAUAACAGCAAGAGAGCUGGAAUCAAGGAGUGCAGUAAUGCACUCCUCAUUGAUAUCAAGAAAAUCUUGGCUAGCAAGGGAGUAGAUACACAUUUAGAGAUUCAAGAAAUAUAACCCAGCAAUUUCUACAGAGAUUUUAAGACCAUAUUCUUGGAUAUCUUAGACAUUGGAAAAUAUUAAAUUAGAGGGAUUAUAUCUGCAACAUAGACUCAAUGUUACAAAUAAGGGCCCACAAGAACAAUAAAAAUUGAAUUUCUCCUAAAAAAACACAUCAUUUUGAAAUAUUCUCUCUAUUGCAGGGAGCUCUAUAAUUUUAAAGAAUAAAAGCUCAAGAUUUUCAUGUAAAGGUUUAUUAUUUAACGUCUUUAUCUGAAGUUCAUAUUUCUAAGUGUCUGAGAAAUUUUAUGUGGGGAAAGAAAGGCUGAUUGUCAGAUUAUUGGGAAGUUUGGUGUUUAAUCUUUUCUCAAACACAAGGAUCUUGUUGCAACAUUGCUCCAUUAUUCAAAGUUGUUCUUAUCUUCUCCAUGACUUACAGAACUGCAGCUAAUCCAUUUCCUGAUAAGACAGCAUUGGCUACUGUUAUCUGGAAAAAACAGCAAAUGUCAAUCUUUUAUGAAAAAAAUGUCGCUUAGACUAAAUUGUUUAUAUUAUAGUAGACAAGUCUGUCUACAUUUUCCAGUAAAAUACACCAAAAUAGAAAAUACAUAUCCUAGUUCAUAUACUUUAUUUAGGGUCUCUUUGGUAAGAGUCCACUUUUAAUUUUGUGCAAGAACUUGCACAGGAGCAACAAAAAAGAAUGACCCUUUACCAAAUUGUCUGACUUAAUGUUCAGAUUUAAAACUAUUUGACUUUUGGGAAUGGUCCUUCAAAGGGCCAGGAUGAUGAUCCUUGUGGGCCCCUUCCAACCGAGGAUAUUCUGUGAUUAUUUUUGCUUGAAUUUCACAUCUACUUUACAUGAAAACUUUCUUAAAUCACUCCAAAUACUACUUCAAUUUUUAACAGGAAAGCAUUGAGCUAAUUUAAAAAUAGAAAUCUUAGUUCAGGUUAUCCUUACUUGAUUUUACCAUUUCUGUUAAAAACUAAUAUUAAUUAUGUUUUGAAUAUUUCAUUGAUAUUUAUAUACAUAUUUGUCCCUUUAGUUCCCAUAGAACUAAACCAUAUGCUUUUCCCAUAGAAAAGCAUACAUACAAUAGUCAUGGUGGGAUGCAUGAGAUAAUUCAACUGCAUAACAUGAACACCAUUUAACUUCAGAUCUCACAUUCAGUUCAUGAUGUAUGUGCUGCUGUCCAAGAUGUUAAGACUGGAGUCACCAAACUAGCCCGGUUAUCAGCAAGAGCGCAGUUACUGCAACAGAGAUUGGCAUGUUCUGACUCACAGACUUCCUGGGUCCUGCAGCCUGUGCUGACCUCAACAUUAGCCCCAGCAACAAGUCAGGACCUGAGCUCCUCAGGUUACUGAUAACUUAGGAAUGCUAGCACUGGCUACAGUUAACAAUUUUAUUUACAUGGACUUAAGAGUGAUUACCUGAGCUACCACAGGCUUCCGAGUACAGCUGCGGUUUAAGUGUUCACAUUAAACCUCACUCAGGUAGACAGAAAAUACCACACCAGUUAUUCUUUGCUCCCCUCCCCUCCAGACCUUAAAUACAUAAGCAUAAAAAAAAUAAAUACUGCUAGCAUGCCUGAUGGGACUCAAACGGUGAUAAAAAUAUAAUGUAAAUGUACAAAAUUUGUAUAAAAAUGUGAAAAUAAAAAAUAAAUGUGUAAAUGUACUAAAAGACACUAUAAAUGAGGAGCUAAAUGAGUAAUCAAGACAGCUUAACAUACGCAGACAUUUUAAAGUUACCUAUGUGCUAAAGUGUGCUGAUGAUGUCAGCACAGGUCUGGAAGGUCUAGUGCAUUCUCAAAAACCCUCUCUGACACCUGUGCAGUUUUAGAUAACCUGUUACAUUAAGUAUUCACCUCUUAUUUACAGGUCUGUGAUUUGUACAAGACUCAGGAUACUGUCCAAUUCCAUCUCCUCUUAUUGAUUAAAGGCUGAUGAAAACAUUUGCUGAAGCAGUGUUGCUGUCUAUCCUGGUUCCAGCCAGGACAUGGUUAAUUUUUUGCAGUGGCAGGGAGAGGGUGUGAUUAGGACACAGGUUAUUCUAUAUCACUUUACCUCAUUGCUGAGGUUAGGGGAAAGGGACACUUGUCCAGGGAAAAGGGGUUCCUUCUAGGCUCAGUGAGCAUUUUGCAUGGAAUCACUCUCUCUUUUGAACCCUUUGGUUAUUAAUCUUGUUGCUAUUACUGUUUUUCUUAUCUCAUCAUUUUUUCUAGUAAAUUGUUGUCUCAGCCCAUGAUCUUUGCCUUUUUUGCCUCCAAUUCUCAACUCCAUCCCACCCAGCAGGAAAGGGGAGGGCAAAACAGGGAGAAUGAGCAGCGCUGUGGUUUUGGAGAGUCUCAGUGGAGACAGUAAAUUGGGGAAUACCAUUCCUAAACCAGGACAGCCUUAAUUAGUGCCCAAUAUAGGGCAUGAAGAGUUGAGGUAACAACAGGUCUGCCCAAAGGAGGUUGAAACAAUUUUGAUCUAAGCAUUUGUGUAUUAGGUAUGGAGCCGCCGGUCACAAGGUUGCUUGGUCUGUUCAUAUGGGUACGUACUUAACACUGUCUUAUGCAUAUGAUCACCACACUACAGUGUAUUUUUCCUAUUCAUUUGAACUCUUUUAAUUUCAUAUGGUUCUCAACAUGGGUAUGCUUUCAAUUAAAUGCACCCAAUUGGUAUUUUGUGCUGUUUGGCUGUCAGACACAUUACAUUCUGAAGGUAACUUUUAAAGCAUGACUUAAAUAAAAUAUGUCCUGCUCAUACCCACAUUUGGAUCAUCCAGAGCCUUUUCCUGCUUCCCUUGUAGUUCCAUUUUUAUCUUCUCCAGAGGAAUUUCCUGUGGACCUUAUUUCAAUAACCAGGAAAGUCCUCCAGAUUCUGGAUUUUGAUAUUUCAAGGUCUCAUCUUCUAUGAGGACUUCAGUU